rnacentral:rRNA from 1 species
CCUACGGGAGGCAGCAGUCGGGAAUUUUGGGCAAUGGGCGAAAGCCUGACCCAGCAACGCCGCGUGAAGGAUGAAAUCCCUCGGGAUGUAAACUUCGCAAGAACGGGAAGAAUAAGUAGGGGACAAUACCCCUUAUGAUGACGGUACCGUUUGUAAGCUCCGGCUAACUCCGUGCCAGCAGCCGCGGUAAUA